rnacentral:rRNA from 1 species
CAUGUAGGCGGCAUGACAAGUCUGGUGUGAAAUAUCUCGGCUCAACCGAGAAAACGCACUGGAAACUGUCAAGCUUGAGUAUCGGAGGGGAAGCUAGAAUUCCUGGUGUAGGGGUGAAAUCUGUAGAUAUCAGGAAGAAUACCGGUGGCGAAGGCGAGCUUCUGGCCAGAUACUGACGCUGAGAUGCGAAAGCGUGGGUAGCGAACAGGAUUAGAUACCCUGGUAGUC